rnacentral:rRNA from 1 species
UAGGGAAUAUUAGUAAUGGGCGAAAGCCUGAACUAGCAACACCGCGUGUGCGAAGAAGGCCUUCGGGUUGUAAAGCACUUUUUGAGAGGAUGAGGAAGGACGGUACUCUCAGAAUAAGUCUCGGCUAACUACGUGCCAGCAGCCGCGGUAACACGUAGGAGGCGAACGUUAUCCGGAUUGAUUGGGCGUAAAGCGCGUGUAGGUGGUUUGGUAAGUAGAGCGUGAAAGCUCCUGGCGCAACUGGGAGAGGUCGUUCUAAACUGCCAGACUAGAGGAUGGUAGAGGGAGGUGGAAUUCCGGGUGUAGCGGUGGAAUGCGCAGAUAUCCGGAGGAACACCAGUGGCGAAAGCGGCCUCCUGGACCACUCCUGACACUCAGACGCGAAAGCUAGGGUAGCAAACG